rnacentral:lncRNA from 1 species
UCUCGCUGUAUCAAUCUAAACGUACCUCAGUUUUCAUACAUAAGUGGGUAUUUUGUCUUGUAGCUGCAACAUCAUAGUAGAAAACAAGAUCAGAUAUACACCGUACUCUCACACAUAGGCUAUUACAGCCUGUGCUUUUAGACAAAGUCAAAAGUGAAAAGAUAAAAAAAAAAAAAGUUUUUAAAACUGAACUGACGAAGUCGUCAGGCUUGUGGAGGGGGUUAUGACACUUGUCAUAUCGGGUCUUUCUUGUUAAUAUUUUUUACCGCGAAACUUGGCGGCUCCGUCGUAGAACCCACCGGGGCAAAAAAAUUACAACCGUC